UUCGGCCAUCUUGGCAUCUUCAUCUUGGCGACCUUGCCUUGCCGUGGAUUGUUUUUAGUUGUUUGUAUUAUUUGUGCUUUUUAAGAAUAUUUUUUUAAUUCGGAUACUUUUAUAAUAGCUUUAAUAGUAUUAUUAACAUAGUGCAUAAAAUGGUGUCCUGUUUUUAACGCAGUUGGAGUAGCAGAAACAAAUGUAGAUAAAAAAAUCUGCAGGAAUAACGUUUCAAUUAUGACAGAAGCUCAAAACAAAUGACUGUGAAUGAAAAGCCCUAUUAAAAGCUUUCCAGAAGAUCCUGCGAAGAAGACAUGAAGUAUAGAUCAGAUUUGUUAAUAGAGGAGUAUGUUCAAAACACUUUUUAGAAAAAGAUAUUGACAGAACUUCACUUUCAUCUGUUCGUUUGAGAGACUGUGCUGUUCCAAUAGCUUAUGUCACACAGAAUCAGCUGAGAGAAGUGGUCUACAAAAAACCAGAAAGGAAACGGAAUAUGUGGCUACGAAAAGCAAAAGAAAGGUUUACAAAGCAAAUGUGACACAUUUUUUUUAUAAUAUUUAGGAAUGUCAGCAAAUUACAUUAAAAAAUGUAUGUAAAGAUUUUUUGCAAUAAAAAUGUUUAUAUUUA